GACAAGUGGAGCAGACUGAGCGCCACCUGCAUCAGUACGUGUUUUGAAAUGUCGUGAGCGGUAGGCGGGUGGUAGCAGUUCCCGUCUUUCAACUCUUCAAGACGGGCAAAAAACGUGAAUGUCUUUGAAUCUCUAUAGUCAAGUGCUGCAUUUUGCAUAGUUUCUUCGUCUCUACAAAUUCUGCACCAGCUAAAUCACGAAAAACUACGAGCGACGCAUGUGACUGCAAUUACGAUGCUGGCAGUUCGUCAUACAAAUGGAGGACGCUUGCAAGAUACUAUGAAUCGUGUGGAAUAAGGGCCAGCGCGACUGAAGUGAGAAACGCUUAAAAUACAUGAAUACUGGGGGCCUGGCAAAAAUCAGCAAAGCUGCUACACAGUUCCCACAGAAUUCCCAGUUCACUCACAAUCCGGUGGGAAGAAAAAGACACCACGACAGCGAAGACUUCUCCGAGUCAGACGUUUCGGACUCUGAAUGUAUUGUGUCAGCUGCUGAAGUAAAGAAGGCUAAUGAACAGGCCACAUACUGGCAGCAGCUUUGUGAAAAGGAAGAGGAGGAAAUAUCACAUCUUCCUUCCUGGCUUCUGUACAUAUUCCAGGCUAGCAGCACAGGCUGGCUCUCCUUCAGAGCCGCAACAGCAGUUCAGAAUAGAAACUGAUGCUGAAACCUGGCUCCGCUUCAAUAAACU